rfam:Candida albicans SC5314 chromosome R sequence.
GCCUAGCUAGCUCAAUCGGCUUAGAGCGUGAGACUUUUAUUACAAGAGUGAUCUCAAGGUUGCGGGUUCGAGUCCCGCGUUGGGCU